UUACGGCUAUAUCACGUUGAAACUCCGGUUCCCGUUCGAUAAAUGGUUAAGCCACGUUGAGCCUGGUCAGUACCUAUAUGGGUGACCGCUCGGGAAUGCUAGGUUCUGUAA